rnacentral:rRNA from 1 species
UUAUUUUAGCGGCGGACGGGUGAGUAACGUGUGGGUAACCUGCCUUUUACUGGGGAAUAAUCACUGGAAACGGUGACUAAUACCGCAUACGGUUCUUGGAAGGCAUCUUCUAAGAAAGAAAGGAUUUAUUCGGUAAAAGAUGGGCCCGCAUCUGAUUAGCUAGUUGGUGAGAUAACAGCCCACCAAGGCGACGAUCAGUAGCCGACCUGAGAGGGUGACCGGCCACAUUGGGACUGAGACACGGCCCAAACUCCUACGGAAGGCAGCAG